UCUCCUUGUUUUUGUUUUCCAUCCGGCAAAACCGCCGUUCAUCUCUUCCCCAACCUCCAUAUCUAUUUUCUUCCAAUGUUGAUCAAUAUAUAUAUCGAUUUGAUUGUGUACUCAUAGCGUUGAGUGCAUAAGGCGGAGGAUUAUCGACGGUGGUAAAAAGAUAGGAUAAGGAUUGGAAG